rnacentral:lncRNA from 1 species
AGUUUUGGCUCCUAGGAGACUUGAUUCUGGCUGACGUGCUGCGACUGUCAUCUUUCAGAUCAGAGUAACUCUGAGUCUGGUGGGAUUGUCUUUCCCCCGACACCCCUAAUACCCCCGCUUUAAGGUGAGAGAAUCUUCUGUCGGUGCUGGCGUUCAACGGCUAACGGAGGAGGCUUGACUCGACCUGCUGGACACUAAAGGACAUCACUCUGAGCCUGAGGGAGGUGCUCUCCUUUGGUCUCCCUCUUUUGUCCAGCCUUGCCCCGGGAUAUUUUUCUAAGCUGAGUUAGCCACUAGGCACUCCACAUCGCUGCCCCCAUCACCGCGCUGCGGCAUCUGCUGUUGCAUCUGCGAUCCACAAGGCCUACACCAUUCGCCAUCGGACCUGGCUCUUUGCUGCAGAUAUUUCUCAGGUCUCAGCAUCUGACUCUGUCACCCAGGCUGGAUUGCAAUGCCAAGAUCUCGGCUCAUUGCAACCUUCGCCUCACAGGUUCAAGCAAUUCUCCUGCCUCAGCCUCCCGAGUACCUGGGA